UGCUUGGUUUGGUGCCAUCUAGAGACCCUGUU
rnacentral:piRNA from 1 species